GCAUGAACUUUUACUCAACAUUCUUAAUUUGUCUGCAUAAUUUAAAAAAAUUCUUGACAUAGUAUUAGUUUGUCUAAAAAGGUUCUUGAUUUUUCUUGACAAGUGUCUUAACAGUAUUAACAUUGUCUUAAAAUUUCUCGACACUUCCUGUAUCAUCUGAUAAGAGUCUGGAUUAGUCUCGACCAAUUCUUGACUGUCUUAAAUUUGUCUCGAUCUGUCUUGACAUAUUCUUGACAUUCUUAAUAAUGUCUGAAUAUGUCUUGACAUAUUCUUGACAUUCUAAAUAAUGUCUGAAUAUGUCUUGAGACAUUCUUGACAGUAUUAAAUAUGUCUUGACACUAUCUCAACAGUAUAAAUUUCGCCUGAAAUUUGUACAGACUUAUUCUGCACGGUUUAUGACAUUCUAUUGCUGUUAUAUAC
rnacentral:lncRNA from 1 species